rnacentral:lncRNA from 1 species
CCUUCUCUUGCAUACUGUUUUCGACUUUUUUGGUGAACUAAGUUUAGUUUGUUGACUUUUAAUUGCUUUUGUUUUUAGUUUAGUUGGAUUACAACUUUCGAUUUUUGUGCAAAGUAGAAGGUGACAUUGAAGCAUAUUUUUGGAGUAUUAUUUGAAGAAGUCGAAUUCCAUUAAUUCCGACAAUUGGUUUGCGUGUUUUAUUUAUUUCUUUCGAUUAUUUAUUAGUUAGGUUUUAGGUUUACUUUUGAUUAGUUUUUUACAUAUACACUUUUACAUACUCUCAGCCGCAGUUGUUGAAUUUUUAAUAUAGCAGUUGACUUUUGCUUUCUUAAGUUUCCAUGCAUGCAAUCUUUUCUCUCCUGCAAAUUGUGUUUAUGUCUUUAGCACUUGAUUCAUAGUUUGUUAGAUUUUAUUUUUGUUCUUCAAUUCGAGAAUUGCGACUGGAUUGGUUUGAUCGAGGCAGACGAUUUCUUCUUCAAUUGGUUCAAGUUUGAUUUAAUUUCUUGCAAUUUUAUUUCUCAAGCUUUAUUCGCAUAUUUUAAUUAUGUUUAUUUUUAUUUAUUUGAUUGUUUUUAUUUAAGCAUGAGUAGCUAACUUUUUAAUUCGGCGAGAAUAAUGAAACUCUAAUUUAAUGAUUUGUGAGACCUAAUUGGUUUUAAAAUUGAUUCCUAUUAAUUUCGAUUAAUUCCUAGGUUUAAGGAUAAUUCCAAUUUUAUUUAAGUCUGAUCAACUUAGGUUAAUUGGAUUAUAGUCAAUUAGCACCUCCAAUCCGUAAUUGUUGGAAUAGGGCUGAUUAGUGGCAAAACUACCAUGUUCGUAGUAGGAAUUAAUUGGUAUAUUAAUUAUUACUAGCGUAUCUAGGAUAAUUGGUAUAAAUUGGGUUCCUUCACCUUAAUGCUAUUAGAAUAUUAAAUCUAAGACUGGCGUAUCCAGCUAGGUUAUAUUUUAAUAAGGGAAAUAGACAAGACUAGCGUAUCUAGCUGUCUAUCAACACAGUAAGUAGGAAUUGGGGUAUGUCAGUGCGUAUCACGGUAUCCUAUAACUAAUUGGUUAAUAGGGAUUAAUUAAUUAUUGCGUCAAGGAUCAGAGAUUAAAUUAGUGUGGAUUUAUUUGAGCCGAAUUACCUUUUUAAUUGAUUUAAUUCAAGAGUCUUUUAUUUGAUUUAAUUUGCUUUUCUUAGUUAAUUAAUAUUUUCUCCAAGUUAAGGCGUGGUGGCAUCACCAAAAUUUAAUAGAUUUAGGGAAUUGAAUGAUUUUAUCUGCUCUCUGUGGGAUCGACCCUGCUUAUCACGAUACUAAUAUAUUUUGAUAAUUCUACAGGAAUUAUUUGGUGGUAUACGACGUCCACCAAAUUGGCGCCGUUGCCGGGGAGCGGUGUUAAUUAAUUCUUUUCCCUUUGUCUAUUUUUUUUCUUUUAUUUUCUUUGUUUAUGAGCAGAUCGUCCAAGCCGAACCUCCUCUACGAUAGUGAAAUUGAGAAGACCGCGAAGAAACUAAGGAAAGAGGCGAAGGCGAGGAAGUUACUGGAUCUGCUGGAUUCACAGUCCGACCUUUCUGUUCGAACGGAGCAGUUAGUCGAGGAGAAGCCUGGUGCUGUAGCUGCUGACGAGGUUCUGUUUGCCCAAACAGACCACGACUCAGAAACAGAAUCAGACUGUGAAGAGGAAACCGACUCGAUUUCGGUUGCAAGUACUGAGAGUGACAUGGCUGACGAUCCUAGACUGUGCGAUCUCUCCAGCCACGAAGCUGAUGACCCACCCACCCCAAUUCAGAUGCCGGCAGCUGCUACCGGUAUUGAGAUUAAGCUUGGUCUGCUUAAUGUUCUCCCGAAGUACUAUGGCAAGAAGGGAGAAGAUCCGUACAAUUUCUUGAGCGAAUUCAUCAAGAUCUGUAAGGUGCAGAAACGCCCCACUGGAGUGACGGAGGAGCACUUUCGAUUGGCUGCCUUUCCAUUUACCCAAUCGGCCGAGGCGAAUUCUUGGUUUGCUAGUCUUCCACCGAAUUCCAUCUCAACAUGGGCCGAGAUGAAGAAGCAGUUUUUGGAGCACUUCUUUCCUCCUACCAAGACGAAUGCGCUGAAAAAGGAAAUUAGUGGAGUGAAGCAGGAGUACGAUGAGUCAUUCAGCACAUACUGGACUCGAUUCAGGAGGUUGGUGGAUAGCUGUCCAAACCAUAAGUUUUCAGAGGGGGAUUUGCUACAGUACUUCUAUCAAGGGAUGACCGUUGAUACUAAAAAUCUUGUGAAUUCAUCGAGUGGAAGAGGGUUUUCCCAGAAUACUGUUAGUGAAGCCAAACGGUUAAUUUAACACUUAGUGGAGGCCACGAGAGAGUAUGAGGAACCGCGCAUCAAAGUGCUCAAGAAAGCUGCUCAAGCAAGUUCGUCGGACUUUGGGGAUAAGUUUGAAGAGAGGAUGGGUAGAAUGGAAAGAUUGCUCAAUACCGUGGUAGAGAAAGUGGCAAGCGCUGGACAACCGAUGGAGAAACCAUGUGGACCAUGUGGCAACUUAGGCCAUACGAGCUUGCAGUGCACAGGGGGUGGGGAAGAAUAUCAAGCCCAAGCGAAUUCUUCCCACAAUUUUUACAGUUGCACUGACCCACUGCCCACUUUGCCCAAAUGGGACCCCUACUCGAACAACCACAAUGCACUAUGGAGAAAUCAUCCCAACUUUCGAUGGAGGGAUUCCGACCAGAAGCAACCACAAUCGAUGCAGCAGCCCCAGCAGCAGAACUACCGUCCGCCGCAUCAGAGAAUGGGAAACCCAAUCCCACCGCCUCCUCAAUCCGUUCCGGAAAAGCAAGGCAAAUCUCUUGAGGAGAUGAUGGCGGAAUUGAUUAGCAACCAACAGUUUUUGCAAGGUAAUGUGCAGCAACUACAACAGUCUCAUGCAGAGCAAAAAGUUUAGAUAGAAGGGUUGGCUCGUCAAAUAUCUCAACUCGCAACGACCGUGAAUCAACUCAAGGGCAAUCAAGGUGCUUUACCAUCACAAGUCCAAUUGAAUCCAAUGGAGAACAUCAGUAUGAUUACUUUGAGGAGUGGAAAGGAGUUGAGUGAGGUCACAACCCAGAAUUCAAAGGGGUGUCCGAGCAAGGAUUCUGGAGCUGAAUCCAAAAAUUCUGGAGAGGAAAUCGAUUCUGCUGCCCAGAAUAUAGAUACGUCCGGUUUGGCCAAACAGAACAGUGACUCCACAGCUGUGUAGAAAGGAAAAGAGGCAGAACACGAGUUGGUGAGGGUGAGCAGACCAAAGUUCAUAAACCUUCAAGCCUACAUGAUCCAAGAUUGAGAUACCUGUUCCCUUCCUAAGAGGUUAGCAAGAAAGAAGCCGNCAAGCACUCAAACUCCCUCAUCUGAGCAAGUUUUUGAAGGACUUCAUCGAUGGAAAGUCUAAGAAAUUUGGAAAGAUUGUGAUGGGCGAGAACGUGUCAGCAGUGAUACGAAAAGAGUUGCCGCCCAAAUGCAAGGAUCCAGGUAUGUUUUCUCUGCCAUGUUUCAUCGGUGAUACUAAGAUUGAGCAUGAUAUGUGUGAUCUAGGAGCUUCUAUUAAUGUCAUGCCCUUAGCUGUUUAUAAUAACCUAAUUGAUGUGAAGUUGGUGGCUACUAAGGUGGUGAUUCAGUUGGCUGAUGGGUCAUGUGUUCAUCCUGAGGGUCUUCUAGAGAAUGUUCUUGUAAAGGUGCAUGAUUUUGUUUAUCCUGCUGACUUUUAUGUGGUGAAAAUGAGUGGUAUGCAGUCGAAAGAGUCAGCCGGUGUUCUGUUAGGUCGUCCUUUCUUAAGGACCACUAGGGCAGUCAUUGAUGUUUAUAGUGGUACCAUUUGUUUGGAUUAUCAUGGAGAGAAGUUCACUUUCAAUAUUGAUGAUACCAUGAAAAGUCCUUUUGUUGUUAAAACUGUUUGUGCCACUAAUGUUACUGACCCUUCUGUCCAAGAACAUCUUGAGACUAAAUCUGUGCAGGACAAGUUGGAACCGACCUUGAUCAAAAGAGCAACUGGUCUUGAUGCUCGUGGGAUGAACAAUGAAGAAGUCAAAGAAUCUACCAAGUCUCUUCAUGCCCACCCGAAAUUGGCAGAUUCUGGAAAUACGUUCUGUUUGCCCAAACAGGAUAAAAUUCUUCAUGAUGACCCGAAAUUCACAGGUUCUGGACAUACGGUUCGUUUGCCCAAACGGAAGCCACGUUAUAGAACUCUGCAUUUUAAUGUGGAACCACCCGACUUAAAAGAUAAGUGUGAGGAGGAGCUCCGUUUGGAAGCCUAUAAUACCAACAUGGGGUAUGCAGAUCUAAUAGCGAUAGCUUAUCACAAGCAUCGAUUCUGGCGAACAUUUGUUGUCGGUGAAAGGUGCGAUUGAUGCUUGGAAAGGCAAUGGAUUGGUCCUUUUGUGAUACAGUCUGUUUGCCCAGACGGAGCAGUUGAGAUUCGCAGUUUGGCUACGGCAAAGACGUUUGUCGUCAACUGUCACACGUUGGAGCCGUAUUAUGAUGCAUCUCCUUUGGCUACAGUGGAAUAAAUUUCACUGUUACCUCCGAGGAGAUUCUGAGCACUUGAGCAGUCGAGCCAACGACGUUAAAUAAUGGCGCUUAUCGGGAGGCAACCCGACUUUCUUUUCCUUUUUAAUUUUUUCGUUUUGUUUCUUCUUUUCUUUAAUUCUCAUUUUUCGUUUAGUUUUUUUUUAAGUCUUCUUAGUUUCCUUUCCUUAGUUUAAUUUUUAGUUAUAGUUUCUAAAAUAAAAAAAAAAAAAAGAGACAGAUCGAUGGGAACGUGGCAGCCCUACAUAAGAGCAUCGCGAAUUUGAGUGCCACCAUUGGACAGGAGCUGCGGCAGCAGCACACACGGUGACUUCCUUCCUUUUCUUGUUUUGUUUCGUGUGUUUUUAUGUUGUCUUUGCCUUGGUCUUUCGUUUAUUUGAGUGUCUUGUUGCUCCUUCGCUUAUUGCUUUGUUUUAUUUGCUUGAGGGCAAGCAAAAUCUAAGUGUGAGGGGGGGCGUUGUUGAGUCUUUGCUUGUUGAGUCAGUUUAUGUUGAGUUUUGUGAGUCUUCUAGCCAAAGUAAUUGAUAAGUUCAGUUGUUGGAGCAUGCUGUUAGAUUGAAUAUGUGUGAUAACUUGAUCUUUCCCUACUUAAAAAUUGAGAGUUUGUGAUUGACAGUGUGUGUUUUGAUUACAUGAUGUCUGGAAUGACAAAAUAAGGGCGAUGAGUGAAUCUAAACUACACAUAAGUGAGGUAUUGAGCCUAAUAGAGUAGAGCACUCUCUACUAAUUUUUGUUUUGAGAGAUUUGAUGAUCCAUGAAGUCGUGAUAUCAAGUGUGUCAUAUGUGGUGAAUGAUAAGAGGCACUAGGGUAGCCAUUUGGCCUGCUUUUGAAUUCCUACCAUACACUAACCCCUAGUGAGCCAUGUUUGAGCCUUGCCGUGAUUGUUCAUAUUAGUCACUAUAUAUAUAUAGCCAAGGCCUGUUUUUUGUGAACUUUCUCUUUGGUCCCAUUGUGCAUGUUAGAAUUGAAUUACAUCUUAAGUGAAUUUUGAGGAAUGUGCAUAAGGAUGCUUGUUUGCCCAAACAGAACCGAGCCGAAAUUGCAUUCUGAAUCUAGGACAGAUGUUCUGUUUGGCCAAACAGAGGAAGAUGUUGACAGUUGGGCAGAUUGUUUUUGAUGUACUCUUUGCAUGAUUGUGUUGUCUUAAUGAAGUGGUGCAGAAAAAAUUGAAAAAAAAAAAUCGAAAAAGAAAAAAAAGAAACAGAAAAAAAAAGAGAGAAAAUAAAGUUUGCACCAAGGUUGAAUUAGUAUACAUGCAUUGAGUUGUUUGAUGGUUGUUGCCCAUAGUAGAGUUGAAAAGUUGCUCCUCAUAUGUUUAGAAUUCUUUGGGUGUGAUUUGAUUCGAGCAUGCACGAUAUUUGAUCUUCAAUGUUUGAGCUUAGGACCCCUAGGAUCUUGCCUACAUCAUUGAUAGUCCUUAGCCCCAUUACAACCAAAGAAGAAAGACCUUUUUGAGCCAUAAUGUGACUGCGAAAUAUCAUGACUAAUUGGAGUUUCUUCUUGUGUGAGAAUUACCUUAUCUUAUGGAGAGAUUGAAUGAGCGUGAGAGUUGCACUCAUUGUUGCCUAAUUUGGACUAGAUUGAUAAUGAAAACACACUUUGGAGGUUCAUGUUUUUAGUUCGAGAGUUGGGAAGUGAUGGUGAAUUGCAUGAUUCGAUUUGAUAGACUGUUGCUCCUGAUGCUUUGAUGUUGCUUGGCUAGUUGUUUGGUUUGUCGUGUCUUGUCUCGUUUCUUUUACUUUCCUGUUCUUUGCGUGUGUCGUUGUGUCUGUUUUCCGUUCUUUCGUUUCUAGAGUCUUUGUGUCAAGGAAAGGAGUUGCUUCUAGGGGCUGAAUUUCACCAUUAAUUCUUCUCUUAUUUCAUACUUGAGGACAAGUAUGAUCUAAGUGUGAGGGGAUUUGAUGUGUGUAUUUUAGCUACCUAGUUUAGUGUGCGUUUUGUCGUAGUUUCAUGUGAUAUUACAUGUUUUGCUAUGUUUUGGCGCAGGAAUGAGAAGAAUUGGAGAUGGAGCUGCUAAUUGGAAGAAAGUGGAGAAAGACGAAUUUGCGAUGGGAUUCGGCGUGGAUUUUGAAGAUGUUUAGAGAUUGGGCUUGGAAACAAUUAUUAUAAUUUUUAUUAAGCUCAAAACUCUUAUUUUAAUUUAAUUUGGGCUUAAGAUAGGAAAAGGGGCCGAAGCCCAUGUUUUUGCAGUUAGGCGGCAUUGUGGGAUUUUAAUUCCCAAAAAUUUUCUUAACCUAGCCGCACAAUUAGUAGGAGAUUAGGACUCUUAUAUUUUUUAUUCCAGCCGCAAUUGGAGACCUUAAGUAGAGUAGUUGACUUUGAUAAGGGAUAUUAUCACACACUUUUUAUUUCCGAAGGCAGGAGACGUAUUUUCUCAUUAUCAAGUUUUAGAUUAAUAGGUUGCUUUUGCUUUUGAUUGCUCAUUGAAGUGGCAGCUAGCAUCAAGACUUGGGCAGGAGAAUUUUAUUUCAAUUGUGGUGACAUUAGUUCAAUUCCAUUUAAUUUUCUUAGUCUAAUUUCCGUUAGUUUUGUGUUUGUUAAAUUCAUGUUUACUUUUACUUCUUUGAUUGUUCUAGUUUUAAUUAUGAGUAGCUAAAUUUUUAAUUCGGCGAGAAUAAUGAAACUCUAAUUUAAUAAUCUGUGAGACCUAAUUGGUUUUAAAAUUGAUUCCUAUUAAUUUCGAUUAAUUCCUAGGGUUUAAAGAUAAUUCUGAUUUUAUUUAAGCCUGAUCAACUUAGGUUUAAUUGGAUUAUAGUCAAUUAGCACCUCCAAUCCGUAAUUGUUGGA